UUUUCUGUAGUGAUUAAGUUCCAGAUAGUAAUAAUGAUUAGAAAGGGACAGUUGUCUGCUACACGAUGCCAUGAGGAGAGCCAAAAACAAAGAGAUUGCAACAAAAAUGUUGUUGAAUAUAAAGACGCAGAAGCACAAACGAUCAAAAAGUAUCAGAACAGAAAAAAUAUGGAGCCGAAAGAUAUUGAAGACGAUGAUCUGCACGAUCAGAACGGUCCGCAAAACUCAGAUUCUGGUCGUCUCAAUAGCCUCAUAACAACGUAUCUUUCGAGUACAUGGAACUCACAACACAGCAAAACAAUUUCAACAAUGAAACGAGAAAAGCAAUUAUCAUGCAGGAAAAAAACGUCUCCAGAAAAUAUUUCAACUAACGAUGUGAGUUGGAAGCUGAUUAUAUCAAUCAAUCUGUUGAUGAUCUUGGUUUCAUUUGCUGCAUGUUGUUUGGUAGUGACUGUUUAUUUUAAGUUUACUUCAAUGGGAGAGCAUUCAACGUAUGAUGCCGAACCAAAUGAGGAAUUCAUCAAGCUCAGCAAGGAUUACCUCAGUAAAAUACAAAGAAAAAUCAGUGGUGAGCACUUUUAUUUGCUUUGUAUUCUUUUGUCUUUAUUGUUAGCAAUUGCACCAAGUAAGUUUAGCCAAGAAACUGUGACUUACAGGGAUCCCAAGCAGAGGUAUAGUUCAAUUAAGCUUUUAACAUGAUCUGACCCCAUAAAUAACAGAAAACAAACAAAAUAUUUGCUGGACAUCGAAUAAAAACUAAAGAAAGAGUUGUAUAAUUUUCACACAAACUUUGGGAAUAAAACUAAGCAAGCCGUAAAUCAACAAAAAAUGAGUCGAAAUGAUGAAUAAACUUGAACAUGAAAGUCUAUUGUCAGUGGAACUCCCAAGACAUCUUCACAUAAAAGAAUGAUAGAAUUGUUCCCACAGAACUAUAGCCAACGUCAACGUUCAUUAUAUUGCUUUCGAUGAGGUGGAUUUAUGAAUGAAUAAUGUAUUUUUUUGAUAAUAAAGAUGGGAGCAGGACGUUUAUCAACUAUUACUCUUCAAUAUUAAAAUAUUGCUCGGUUAUUUUUUGUCCCAUUGCCAUUAAUGUUUGAAUUAUAUAGAUAAAGUAGGCAGGUACGUGUUUCGAAGUAAAUACGGGCCUAGAGAGCAAUGCACAUAUAACUUCCCAUGUAACUUCUAAGAACCAUAUUAAUUACCACACGUUCAUCGAAAUAGCGUAAAACUGAUUGUGCGGCACAGAUAUUGAAACUUGGGAAAGUUGAGAUUGUAACAAGGGCUGUAUAGUAAAGAAAUAUAUAAUCGAUACAGUGAUUGUAAACGGCAGCCGUUCUUCGUCACACAUAAACUACUUAUUUUACAAAUUCAGCAUCAUUAAUGACCAUAAUAAAUAGACCAGCUUUUUCGAACACCUACGCGUUUAUCUCGCCUCGCGAAACACCAAGUAAUUAGAAGGUAAAAUUAGUAGGUGGAAUUUGACACGAGGCCCGUCCGCCAUUCCGCUUCUUUGUCGUCAGUUAGAAUACAAAUCUACGACCCAGAGUCGC